GAAUUUAAUGAGUUUAAUGCUUGAUUUUUCAUUUCACACAUUCAUUCCUUAAGAGAAAUCAAGCUCAUGAAAGUUCCUAUGGCUUUCUGGAAUCUCUUCUCUGAAUUUCACUGGAGCAGAAGAAUGUACCUCAGAGACUUGCUUCACACUUCAGCCAGGCCUGAGCUCCUUCUUUCUCAGCUUGCCACUCCUCUCUAUCUUCAGUUGCCCAUUUGCAGUGAUGAAUGACUCGUUUCUCAACCAAUGCCUUGGUGCCCUUGGCCUCAAUAUUAUUGUUUUUCAAAGUAAUUGUGUUGUGGCAGGAUCAUCCUGCCCUCUUAAUUAAGGGCAUUUGUGGUUUGGUCUUUGUCCCAUGUCCUCCUGGUCAAUUAUGCUUAUUUAUUCCCUGUUGUCAAUUUGUCACUAAUAAGUCCUCUCAUAUAAUGUUAUUACAGCACAAGUGAUACACUUCUAUAUAAUUUCAGGAAAAAGUAGACAUUACUGGAACAAAAAGUGCUUAGAGAACCACAUGAUGAAGAAAGCAUUUCACAGUGUUGGUUUGUUCUCUAUUUCCCACAAAUCUACAGUAACAAGUUACAGAUUUUAAAAAUAACUCUAGAGUUACCCCUCUCAAUUGAAUAACUCAAUUUUUUAAAAGACUCAUCACAGGACAACAGCAAUCAAUCUAUUUUGCAACACAAUAAUUCUAAAACAAUUCAAAUGUAAAUGUUAAAAGAAACCAUAAACAUUCUAGAACAAAAAUAAGUGAAAGGUUUUAUGCCCUUAGGUGGGAAAGACAUUUCUAAGCAUGCCGUCAAAGGCAGAAUGCAUUAGGAAAAUCAAUAGAAUUGAUUUCAAAAAACAUUUAAAACUUUUUUAUGGCCAAAAAUCCCCCAUAAACAAAAUUAUCCCCUAGAAACAAAAUAACAAAAAUAUUAACAAACAUAAAUAAACUAGGAAACAUAUUUGCAAUCCACAAACAAAGAGCACUUAACAUACAAAGUGCUUUCACAAUUGCAAAAUGGGCUAAAGUCAUGAAAAGACAAUUCAAAAAACACAAUGUCCAGUAAACACAUAAAAAUAUGUUUGAGUUCACUAAUUUAGCAAAUUCAAACAAUAAGAAAUAUUUUUUUCACUCAUUAGAUUGGCAAAUAUUAAACUUAUGGGUAAUGCCAAUGUUGGCAAGUUAUGCAUACCAACCAGCAUUCUCAUACAUUCUUAGAAAUAUAAAAGGGCUUAGUUUUCUGGAUAGCUAUUUUACAAUAUGCAAAGAAAAAAAAGAUUGAAAAAGUAUACCAUCUGACUCAGCAAUUCACUCUGGGUAUAUCCUAAGAAAAUAAUCAGAGAAGUCACAAAGGUAUAUGCAUGAGGACAUUUACUGUAACACUGUUUAUAAUGAAAAAUUUAAAACAUCCUAGUAUCCACAGAGGAUAGUUAAAUAAAUUAUGUUACAGUCCUAUAGUGGAAUAUUAUG
rnacentral:lncRNA from 1 species